rnacentral:lncRNA from 1 species
AUGAAAAACAGGAGCGGGAAAAAGAAAGAGGCAGGAGAGAGAAAGAGAGAGUCUCCUCCUCCUCCUUCUCCUCCUCUUUCCCCCCUUCCCAACCCUUCUCUCCCCUCAUUUUCUAGCUGUUAUCUAGGGGCUGGGGAGCCACCGUCCUUCCGCAGAGCUUUAAUUGGUUUGCUCUGGUCCUCCAGCAUCAUUCCAAAGCCUUCAUUUGAUAUUGUUGGUCAUUACGGUUUGGUGGCUCUUUUUCUCCUCUUCUUAAAUAAUGGUGUCGAGCACAGGUUUACUCCUGAUUUCACCUCUCUCCCCCAGAAAUACAGAUUUCAUUAUAUAAAUGCCCUUCUUCAUAAAAUCAUAAGAAAUAACAAGAAAGCGCAUCUCAGUCUACUUUUAAAGUGCAGCAGCUGCUUUCUAGCACUCCUGUGCAGUGUUUGAGGAUGGAAUGGGCUGCUGCAGGUCUGGCACAUCAUGUCGACUGUUUGCAGAGAGUCGCGAGGACAAAGGAAAACAAAAUAAUAAAUCAACACUCAGCAACA